rnacentral:rRNA from 1 species
CCCGCUGAACUUAAGCAUAUCAAUAAGCGGAGGAAAAGAAACCAACAGGGAUUGCCUCAGUAACGGCGAGUGAAGCGGCAACAGCUCAAAUUUGAAAUCUGGCUCUUUCAGGGUCCGAGUUGUAAUUUGUAGAAGAUGCUUUGGGUGUGGCUCCGGUCUAAGUUCCUUGGAACAGGACGUCAUAGAGGGUGAGAAUCCCGUACGUGACUGGUUGCCUCCGCCCGUGUAAAGCUCUUUCGACGAGUCGAGUUGUUUGGGAAUGCAGCUCAAAAUGGGUGGUAAAUUUCAUCUAAAGCUAAAUAUUGGCCAGAGACCGAUAGCGCACAAGUAGAGUGAUCGAAAGAUGAAAAGCACUUUGGAAAGAGAGUUAAACAGUACGUGAAAUUGUUGAAAGGGAAGCGCUUGCAACCAGACUUGCAUGCGGUUGAUCAUCCGAGCUUCUGCCCGGUGCACUCGAUCGUAUUCAGGCCAGCAUCGGUUUUGGUGGGCGGAUAAAGGCCUUGGGAAUGUAGCUUCCUUCGGGGAGUGUUAUAGCCCUCGGUGCAAUGCGCCCUACCGGGACCGAGGACCGCGCUUCGGCUAGGAUGCUGGCGUAAUGGUUGUAAGCGACCCGUCUUGAAACACGG